ensembl:miRNA
UGAGGCAGGAGAAUUGCUUGAACCCAGGAGGUGGAGGCUGCAGUGAGCCGAGAUUGUGCCACUGCACUCCAGCCUGGGUGACAGAGUGAGACUCCGUCUCA